rnacentral:rRNA from 1 species
GAUGAACGCUGGCGGCGUGCCUAAUACACGCAAGUCGAGCGAACGGACGAGAAGCUUGCUUCUCUGAUGUUAGCGGCGGACGGGUGAGUAACACGUGGAUAACCUACCUAUAAGACUGGGAUAACUUCGGGAAACCGGAGCUAAUACCGGAUAAUAUUUUGAACCGCAUGGUUCAAAAGUGAAAGACGGUCUUGCUGUCACUUAUAGAUGGAUCCGCGCUGCAUUAGCUAGUUGGUAAGGUAACGGCUUACCAAGGCAACGAUGCAUAGCCGACCUGAGAGGGUGAUCGGCCACACUGGAACUGAGACACGGUCCAGACUCCUACGGGAGGCAGCAGUAGGGAAUCUUCCGCAAUGGGCGAAAGCCUGACGGAGCAACGCCGCGUGAGUGAUGAAGGUCUUCGGAUCGUAAAACUCUGUUAUUAGGGAAGAACAUAUGUGUAAGUAACUGUGCACAUCUUGACGGGACCUAAUCAGAAAGCCACGGCUAACUACGU